GACGAACGCUGGCGGCGUGCUUAACACAUGCAAGUCGAACGGUGAAGCGCCUUCCUUUUUGGUGGGUGUGGAUGAGUGGCGAACGGGUGAGUAACACGUGAGUAACCUGCCCCCUUCUUCUGGAUAACCGCAUGAAAGUGUGGCUAAUACGGGAUAUUCUGGGUCUGUCGCAUGAUGGGUCUGGGAAAGAUAUUGUUUCGGUGGGGGAUGGGCUCGCGGCCUAUCAGCUUGUUGGUGGGGUGAUGGCCUACCAAGGCGGUGACGGGUAGCCGGCCUGAGAGGGUGGACGGUCACAUUGGGACUGAGACACGGCGCAGACUCCUACGGGAGGCAGCAGUGGGGAAUAUUGCACAAUGGGCGCAAGCCUGAUGCAGCGACGCCGCGUGAGGGAUGGAGGCCUUCGGGUUGUGAACCUCUUUCGCCAGUGAAGCAGGCCUGCCUCGUUUGUGGGUGGGUUGACGGUAGCUGGAUAAGAAGCGCCGGCUAACUACGUG
rnacentral:rRNA from 1 species